rnacentral:lncRNA from 1 species
AUGCGAACAUAUCAUUUAUAUUUAAUUUUUAUGAACUGCUAUUAUUUAAAAUAUAUUGAUAAAACAUUUCUACAUAUAGUGUUAAUUAAUGUUAUACGUAAAUUAUCGCAAUUACCAUGUGAGGCUAUAUGCCAAAUUUUACCUAUUGUUCCAUUAUUUAUAAAAUCAGAUAAAAUAGUUUUUAAAAUAAAUGUUAUAUAUUCCAAAAAAAUAGCUAGCUUUAAUCAAGUUAAUCAUUUGGCUAGUUUAUUUAAAAAAAUGCUGCAACAUAACUUUAUAUCACAAAAAAAUAUUUUUUUAAGUUUCAAGUACUUAAAUAAGUUUUUGGAAAUAAAAAAAAAAAAAAAGGAAUAUAACAAACAGAACAAAGAGAGUGAAGAAUAUAGUAGUAAAAGUGAAAAAAUAAAUUUGUGUGUCGAUAAUGAUAAAAAUAAAGUUUAUGAAAUUUUAAAUAAUUUUGACUCAUUUAAUUAUGAAACUUGUAAAAAAAAAAAAAAAAAAAUGAUUAAUCAUAUAGAUAAUAUAAAUUGUUUGGAAGAAAAUUACUAUCAAAAUUUGAAAAAUGCUGAUAAAAUAGAUGACCAAGAAUUUAGUAAUUGUAUUGACAUAGAUGAUAGUAAUAGUAGUGACAACGUAGAAGACAGUUUAGAUUGUCACACAGACACAAAAACAAACAAAUAUGUCGAAUUACUUAAAAACGAACAAAUAACAAAUAACGAAAUCAUAAUGAAUAAAGACAGUGGUAAAGAGUUAAAAGAGAAAGAUACUUUAUUUUUUGAUCUUAAAUUAAUAGAUAUGUAUUUAAGACAUAAUUUUAGCAAUAUAUAUGACUUGUUACCAAUAUAUUAUAAAAAUUUCCUUCGAAAAGUACGAAAUACAGCAUGUAAUAUUAAUAAAAAUUUACAAGGAGAAAAAGAAAUAUAUAUUUUAAAAAAAUAUAUAAAACUAUUAAAUUAUAAUUUUAUAACAUUUGCAUAUGGACCUUAUAUUUUACAUAUAUGCGAUCCUUUUAAUAAAAUAUAUAUUGAAUGGAAAGAUAUGUGGAAUUUAUAUCCACAGUAUGAACAGGUAUUUCAAAAAAGUUUUUAUAUUCAUAAAACUUAUCAUUUAAAAAGGGAAGGAUUUAAACAAAUUAUAAUUUGUCAUGAUUUUUACACAAAGUGUCAAAACGAGAAAGAAAAAAUCAAAUAUAUCAGCUCUAUUUUGUCUCUUACUGAUUUUUCCAAAUGUACACCUCUCAUGGUAAAUACAAAUAAAGAUGAUCCCAUUUCGCUGCAGUUGCCUAGUAUAUGUUUAUAG